GGUGAACGCUGGCGGUAGGCCUAACACAUGCAAGUCGAACGGCAGCACAGUAAGAGCUUGCUCUUACGGGUGGCGAGUGGCGGACGGGUGAGGAAUACAUCGGAAUCUACUUUUUCGUGGGGGAUAACGUAGGGAAACUUACGCUAAUACCGCAUACGACCUACGGGUGAAAGCAGGGGAUCUUCGGACCUUGCGCGAUUGAAUGAGCCGAUGUCGGAUUAGCUAGUUGGCGGGGUAAAGGCCCACCAAGGCGACGAUCCGUAGCUGGUCUGAGAGGAUGAUCAGCCACACUGGAACUGAGACACGGUCCAGACUCCUACGGGAGGCAGCAGUGGGGAAUAUUGGACAAUGGGCGCAAGCCUGAUCCAGCCAUACCGCGUGGGUGAAGAAGGCCUUCGGGUUGUAAAGCCCUUUUGUUGGGAAAGAAAAGCAGCAGGUUAAUACCCAGCUGUUCUGACGGUACCCAAAGAAUAAGCACCGGCUAACUUCGUG
rnacentral:rRNA from 1 species